UUCCCUUGAAACCAGUCAUCUAUUGUGAUAAUGUGGGAGCCAAUUAUCUGAGUGCAAACCCAGUUUUUCAUUCUCGUAUGAAACACUUGGCAUUGGACUUUCACUUUGUACGGCAAAAUGUCCAGUCGGGGGCUCUCUGGGUUGCACAUAUCUCGACUAGAGAUGAUGCACUGACGAAACCUUUAUCUCGCGUCCGCUACAAUGAGCUCAUACCCAAGAUUGGAGUAACCAAAGCCCCUCCAUCUUGAGGGGGAGUGUAGAGACUAAGUGUAUAUAAGGGUAGAUUAGUAAAUACUUAAUACCUAGACAUCUCUUGUACACUAUAUAUAUAUUGUAAUCCUCCAUUCUAAUAGAAUUAAUUCAUUCCCUAAUCUAUAAUUAUGUUAUGUAUAGGGAGCUGAAGUCAAAAAAAUUUUAAUGGUCUCUUCGAACUUGAUAACGAGGUAUUGGUGGAAUGUUGUUGUGUCGUGGAGGAAUCACAUAACCGUUUGUAUAGAAUGAAUAGGAGAAUUAGGAUUAAUCGGAGCUCUAGAGAUUAGGGUGGUACAACAAGGAACGUCUGACUCCCUCAUUGAUUUCUUCAUCUCCCUAGGUGCUUCUAUAGCUCAAUACAAGACACCUUGUUGCAUCAACUCUUCUGAAGCCUUAGCGGUUCUUGAAAACAGAGUUCUAGCUCAGGUUUUCGACAAAUGCCCUCGACUCAUCUAUCUAUCUAUCUAUAAUAAUAAAGUUAACUUGCCUCUCUCCACAAGCGUCCAUGUCAUCAUUUAGAAUGGGCUUUUACUGACACGUGGCGGCUUCUAAAAGAACUUUUCACCCGGGCUCGAAAAAUGAAUGUUAUUUUGGGGAUAAUGAAUUUAAGUUGAUGGGCUCCAAAUGUUUUAUUAUUGGGCUGAUAAUGUUUUGUUUGUGGGUUGAUGAAUUUUGUUAUCUCCACUAGACAACUCCACUAUAGUCUAUACCGACCUGAGAAUCACCCUCUUCGUCUUCAUCGAUUCCCAUUUUUUAUUUCUAGGGGUUUUGAUGUUCUUCAGCUUCUGCUUUCAAACACCGUCCAUGGAGUUUCUAAAAGGUGAUGAGAGACGAUCAUUAACGGAAAAUAUCUGGAGCAAUUUUCUGUUCAUGUCGUUUGGUCUAGAUUUCAUAAUGCCUUAGAACCGUUAUGGGAUGCAUUCAAUCGUUAUCAUUAACGACUAUCUUAAUUAACUCCUUUAUCUCACUCCUAGCAUGAUUCCUCAUUCAAUGUACCUCCCUUUCUUCCAGUCCGUGAUUCUCUUGCUAUAAAAAGGUGUACCUUCAUGCCCUGAACAUCAUCCUUUCAUUCCGCACAACACUAAAAAUUUUCUUUGAGCAGAAUAGAAUUCCGGUCUAGGACUGAGCCUCCUAAGCAGUGUCGCUAGAUUUCUCCUCAAAGCUAGCCCGUCCUAUCGAUCAACUUGAACGACUGAAUCAAAUCAGAGUAAUAAUUGCAACAAGUUCCCGGGGAGAACACUGAAAGAGGUGGGGAGACGUGGCUUGGGUUACCAUACGAUGCAUCAAAGAAAGAGGAAGAAGCACGAGAGCUGAAAGAAGAAGGUUCAGAUCUGGAGACAUAAGGUUUGAAUUUGGAGGAAGAUGUUUAAAAAAAAUGUAUUUAUGUUACCGAUCACACUUCUGAAUCUAGAUUUUGCCAUGGAAUAGUAUUGGUGCCAAGUUACCUUCGUUAGGUCUUCAAGCCUACACCUUGGUUCAGUCAACAAUUAAACAAGCGAUUAAGACACAUUGAGGGUCACGGGAAAGAGGUAAAACAUUUCUCAUAUCACCGAAUUUAAGAGACCAUAUAUGAUGUUAAGUCUUUGUGGUUGACAUGUCCUGCCUCUGCAUGUUAAGUUCUCCUCAUGCUAUGAUUCAGUUUACUAGAUUGGUAGUGUAUUGGAUAAGUAAUAGAUUGUGGUUUCCUGAAGCGUAAGGCAUCACUUCGAAACUUUCGUUUGUCUUUAUUUGGUUUGUGUCAUUCUUCAUAUUUCUAUUACACUAGCAGCAAGUGUUUUUUUUUUUUGAAGAAUCUCACGGGAAACAUCAAUUGGGAGAUCGUGGGAGUCAACACCUUAAUAAAGCUCAAGUCCUGAAGAAAUUAUUUACAAAGCACCACAAAAAGGAAGGAAUAAAGGCUGACAUGGAAACAGAUUAGAUCAAUGAAGGAAGAUCUUGAAACAAAGCUGACCAUAACGAGAGCUAAGCUCAACGACACACACAAGGGUUACGAAAAUAUUAAUCAUCACAUCUAAAGAAACAACAAUACUUUCUUUUGUCUAUAAAUCUCAUCACUUUCUUAUGAGUUUUUUGCACUGUUGAAACGGCUAAACCAAUGCAAUUCUAAAAAUGUUAAUAAAGAGAUUCACAAUACACACACUAAGAGCAAGUCCAUCGGCGUCUCUUCCCGAAAUGUUUAAGCCAAACUGAAAAAAAAUAAAUGAAAAAGAAAUUAAAAGGAAAGAACCGGUGUCAAAAAUGGGUUUUAUAGAGCUGUUAGGAACCCUUACUUGUCACUCUCCCAUUAAACCUUACAUUUAUGACUCUCUCUCUCUUUCGACGGCUUCGUUGAGGUUCUUUGUCAAAAUCAGUUUGGAUUCCUCCUCCAAUUCCUAUCUAUCCAUCUGCUCUCUCGAUUCUUUCUUGAGAUCACUCCAUCUUCGAUUGUAAAAGACCAAAGGAGGUUCUAAUCGACAUCACUCCAUGUUCUCUGUCUGGAUUCAAAGACGGUUCUGUUCCCAUCUCCUCCGUCCUCUCCGUCGAGAUUCUCCUCUCCUGAACCGGACUCUCAAGACCUGCCGUUGGUCGAAUCGCCGAUAUGUUCCCUGACUUGCUAACUUCUGAUCCCGAAUCCGACAUCCUACCGGUUCUUCACUUCUUGUCCGAAGAGAUCUCGAUCUCGCGAAGUCGAUAUCUCGCUUCUCCCGAAGAUUGAGUACGUAGAAGAAGGGUUAGGGUUUACGAGAGAAGAGGUGGUGAAGAUGGUGGUGAGGUCUCCGGCACUGUUGACGUACAGUGUGGAUAACAACUUGGCUCCGAAAGUUGAAUUCCUUUUGGAGGGGAUGCGUGGUGACGGUAAGGAGGUGAAGAGGUUAGUGGUGGACAUUUUAAUAACUGGCUUUUAGAGCUCCAUCUUAGGUCUCUUGUUAGAAGAAUGUUAGUUACUCAAGCUCUCACAUUUUAUGCUGUGAAUUUAGUUUAGGGUCUUGCUUAGAAGCUGAGUUUAUUGUGUAUCGAAAUGAUCAUCGAGGUGGUUUGGGUAUUGCUUAGUAGCUGAGUGUGCGUUUGGAUUUGUUCUUUACUAAUUGGGUAUAGAAUUGAUUUAUCAAAUAGUUGUUCUUGAUUAAUGUUUACACGAGUUUUGCAGUGUACUAAUUGGGUAUAGAAUUGAUUAGCUUAUGAGAUUGAUCUCGAGAAGGUGUAUUGUUAUCCUUUAACUAAGUUAUACGUUUCAUUUUUUUUUUGUGUUUUGGUUUGAGGAAUUGAUCUCGAGAAGGUGUACGUGUGUAUGGGAGACACUGAGGGAGAUGCGGAGAACCAUGUUCUUAAAGCAGAACGGUAGUCACAGAUGUAAAACCUAUAUUAAAUAGAAAGUUAGAUGGUGAACAGAGCAGUUGGAGAGUUUCUUUUGCAUUCAUUACGGAUUCAACAUCAACAAAGCAUCCCACUUGCACUGCAGUUACGAAGAGGUAAGUACAAUUAUCUUUUAAUGCUUUGUUAGAUAUUGAUAUUUGUUAGUUGUGUUGAUUUGAUUUACAUUUAGUUGUCGUGAUGCUUUUAGUUUUAGGUUAGAACAUUGAUUGCCAUUAAUAAUACAUAAAUGAAGUUAUUUCAACAACUGAAAUCUUAAAGUUGCCUUUAAAAUCUGAACAAUUCUUGAUCCUUCUUAUUUUCCAUUUCCUUCGAAUUCUUGAUCCUUCUUCUUUUCUAUUUCCUUCGAAUCCAUAACCAUUUUUUAUGGAAUCAUAUUCUAAAACUUCUAGCUUUAUAGACCUCUUAAAUAUUCAACAACAAAACCCUCAACCUAGUUUAGACUUCUCAGUCUCGAAUGUGUCUGGACUUGGUCCACAUUGGGCUGAAGAUGCAACCUUGGAAGGUCACACUGUGGAAGACCGCAAAGAGAGACGGAAGUGGACACCAACAGAACACGUGGUGCUCAUCAGUGCUUGGUUGAACACUUCAAAGGAUCCGGUUGUUGGUAAUGAGCAAAAAGCGAUUGCCUUUUGGAAACGCAUUGCAGCUUAUGCUUCUGCGAGUCCAAAGCUUGCUGGUAUGUCAAAGAGAGAGCCAACUCACUGCAAACAAAGGUGGGUGAAGACAAGAAACUUUGCCAUUUCACAUGUUUUAUUUGUUUAUAAAGUUGUUGUAUUUCCACGUAAAGAAACAAGUUGUGUUUCAGAGUUUUCUUUAUAAACAAUGCCAUUUCUCUUCUUUUAUAAACUUUGCAAGUAGUGUUUUCUUUGGGUUUCUCCUACCAUUUCACAAGAAACAAGUCUUUUUUUUUUUUGUCUUUAAUAAUUUGCUCUUAUCAUUCUCUUUUCAUUUUACCAUUCCUUUGAACAAGAAUUCAUUUCUCUCACCAUUUCUCUUUUCAUAUUCCUCUAAAUGGCUUCUUCUUCUAAUGAUUAUGAAGACAUGAUGGACGAGAGAUUCGACCAAAUUUUCGAUCAAAAAUUCGAAAAUCUUCUCCUUCAAGAUGAAGCUCAUCAAGAAGCGUCAAGGUCAAAAAAGAAACGAGCCUACAUUGAAAGACAACGAGAACAAGGACACAUGCAGUUAUGGAACGAUUAUUUUAGUGAAGAUGCAACAUAUCCUUCUCACAUGUUUCGACGCCGUUUUUGAAUGAACAAGUCCUUGUUCAUGCUUAUUGUUGAUCGACUAUCCGCUGAAAUCCCAUACUUUCAACAUAAAACAGAUGCUACUGGAAGGUUUGGUCACUCUCCGUUACAAAAGGCAACAUAAGCAAUUCGAAUGAUGGCAUAUGGUUGCCCAGCUGAUGCGGUCGACGAAUACCUCCGACUUGGUGAGACCACCGCGCUUUUAUGCUUGGAACAUUUUGUUCAAGGAAUUAUAAAUUUAUUUGGAGAUGAGUAUCUAAGAAGACCCACGCCAGAAGAUCUUCAACGACUACUCGAUAUUGGAGAGAUACGCGGAUUUCUCGGGAUGAUAGGGAGCAUUGAUUGUAUGCAUUGGGAGUGGAAGAAUUGUCCUACUGCAUGGAAAGGUCAAUAUACACGUGGAUCAGGAAAGCCAACCAUUGUUUUAGAGGCUGUAGCUUCACAAGAUCUCUGGAUAUGGCAUGCGUUUUUCGGACCUCCAGGUACAUUAAACGAUAUCAAUAUUCUAGACCGAUCACCGGUUUUUGAUGAUAUAUUACAAGGUCGAGCUCCUAAAGUGAAUUACAUUGUCAACGGACACAAGUACCAUUUGGCUUACUAUCUCACAUAUGGUAUUUAUCCAAAAUGGGCUACUUUUGUCCAAUCUAUUCCACUUCCGCAAGGUCCGAAAGCAUCCUUAUUCGUUACAAAUCAAGAAGUUGUACGUAAAGAUGUCGAGCGUGCUUUUGGGGUCUUGCAAGCUCGAUUUGCCAUAGUAAAAAAUCCAGCUCUUUUGUAGGAUAAAAUAAAAAUUGGAAAGAUAAUGCGAGCAUGUAUCAUUCUACAUAAUAUGAUCGUAGAAGAUGAACGCGAUGGGUACACACAGUAUGAUGUAUCAGUUUUCGCACAACCGGAUUCAAACCGAAGUUCACAAGUGGAUUUCACAUUUUCUACAGAUAUGCCUUCAAAUCUCGGCAAUAUGAUGAGCAUUCGGAAUCGAGUUCAUGAUAGAACAAUACAUCAACAAUUGAAAGAUGAUUUGGUUGAGAAUAUAUGUACAUCAAAAUUUAAGUUAAUCGUUUCUUUCUCGUUUACUAUUUUUAUUUGUAUUUGUAAUAUGUUUGUAUGUCAUUAGUAUUAAAAAAAUUAUGUAUGCUUUUAUUUUAAA